rnacentral:rRNA from 1 species
CCUACGGGCGGCUGCAGUGGGGGAUUUUGCACAAUGGGCGCAAGCUUGAUGCAGCGACGCCGCGUGAGGGAUGAGGGCCUUCGGGUUGUAAACCUCUUUCGCUGGGUUGAAAGGCCAUGCUUUGGGUGUGGUUGAUUUGAACUGGUAAAGAAGUACCGGCUAACUACGUGCCAGCAGCCGCGGUAAUACGUAGGGUACUAGCGUUGUCCGGAUUUAUUGGGCGUAAAGGGCUUGUAGGUGGUUUGUCGCGUCUGUCGUGAAAUCCUGUGGCUUAACCAUGGGCUUGCGGUGGGUACGGGCAGGCUUGAGUGCGGUAGGGGAGACUGGAAUUCCUGGUGUAGCGGUGGAAUGCGCAGAUAUCAGGAGGAACACCGGUGGCGAAGGCGGGUCUCUGGGCCGUUACUGACGCUGAGGAGCGAAAGCGUGGGGAGCGAACAGGAUUAGAUACCCCUGUAGUC